UUUUUGCGUUAAGGAUUGCAGCGGCAUACUUUUUAUGCUAAACGUAUGCUUAAUUUAAGCAAUUUACUUUAUUGCAUAAAAAGAUAUAGCGGAAAGCCUGACCCCUU
rnacentral:sRNA from 1 species